rnacentral:rRNA from 1 species
AGAGUUUGAUCAUGGCUCAGAUUGAACGCUGGCGGCAGGCCUAACACAUGCAAGUCGAGCGGUAACACAGAGAGCUUGCUCUCGGGUGACGAGCGGCGGACGGGUGAGUAAUGUCUGGGAAACUGCCUGAUGGAGGGGGAUAACUACUGGAAACGGUAGCUAAUACCGCAUAACGUCGCAAGACCAAAGUGGGGGACCUUCGGGCCUCAUGCCAUCAGAUGUGCCCAGAUGGGAUUAGCUAGUAGGUGGGGUAACGGCUCACCUAGGCGACGAUCCCUAGCUGGUCUGAGAGGAUGACCAGCCACACUGGAACUGAGACACGGUCCAGACUCCUACGGGAGGCAGCAGUGGGGAAUAUUGCACAAUGGGCGCAAGCCUGAUGCAGCCAUGCCGCGUGUGUGAAGAAGGCCUUCGGGUUGUAAAGCACUUUCAGCGGGGAGGAAGGCGGUAAGGUUAAUAACCUUGUCGAUUGACGUUACCCGCAGAAGAAGCACCGGCUAACUCCGUGCCAGCAGCCGCGGUAAUACGGAGGGUGCAAGCGUUAAUCGGAAUUACUGGGCGUAAAGCGCACGCAGGCGGUCUGUCAAGUCGGAUGUGAAAUCCCCGGGCUCAACCUGGGAACUGCAUUCGAAACUGGCAGGCUAGAGUCUUGUAGAGGGGGGUAGAAUUCCAGGUGUAGCGGUGAAAUGCGUAGAGAUCUGGAGGAAUACCGGUGGCGAAGGCGGCCCCCUGGACAAAGACUGACGCUCAGGUGCGAAAGCGUGGGGAGCAAACAGGAUUAGAUACCCUGGUAGUCCACGCCGUAAACGAUGUCGAUUUGGAGGUUGUGCCCUUGAGGCGUGGCUUCCGGAGCUAACGCGUUAAAUCGACCGCCUGGGGAGUACGGCCGCAAGGUUAAAACUCAAAUGAAUUGACGGGGGCCCGCACAAGCGGUGGAGCAUGUGGUUUAAUUCGAUGCAACGCGAAGAACCUUACCUGGUCUUGACAUCCACAGAACUUNNNNNNNNNNNNNNNNNNNNNNNNNNNNNNNNNNNNNGGCCGGGAACUCAAAGGAGACUGCCAGUGAUAAACUGGAGGAAGGUGGGGAUGACGUCAAGUCAUCAUGGCCCUUACGACCAGGGCUACACACGUGCUACAAUGGCAUAUACAAAGAGAAGCGACCUCGCGAGAGCAAGCGGACCUCAUAAAGUAUGUCGUAGUCCGGAUUGGAGUCUGCAACUCGACUCCAUGAAGUCGGAAUCGCUAGUAAUCGUAGAUCAGAAUGCUACGGUGAAUACGUUCCCGGGCCUUGUACACACCGCCCGUCACACCAUGGGAGUGGGUUGCAAAAGAAGUAGGUAGCUUAACCUUCGGGAGGGCGCUUACCACUUUGUGAUUCAUGACUGGGGUGAAGUCGUAACAAGGUAACCGUAGGGGAACCUGCGGUUGGAUCACCU